rnacentral:rRNA from 1 species
UACGGGGGGGGUAAGCGUUGUUCGGAAUUACUGGGCGUAAAGGGCUCGUAGGCGGCCAACUAAGUCAGACGUGAAAUCCCUCGGCUUAACCGAGGAACUGCGUCUGAUACUGGAUGGCUUGAAUCCGGGAGAGGGAUGUGGAAUUCCAGGUGUAGCGGUGAAAUGCGUAGAUAUCUGGAGGAACACCGGUGGCGAAGGCGGCAUCCUGGACCGGUAUUGACGCUGAGGAGCGAAAGCCAGGGGAGCAAACGGG